CCGCGAAAUUUAGUUUGCGCACGCGCAAAAUGGCGGCUGUACGCGCGCGUACACACGUGCCUCAUUAUCGGAUUAUGAAUAUUCAUUUAUCAAAACGCGAAGUUACUCACCAAUUAAACUACCCUAUAUCAGUGACGACAUCGCCCCUGGCGGUUUCUAUGCACCCCAGUUGGUAAGGAGGCUUCAUCAACAUGAUAAAUAUUUUUUUAAUUAUGAAAAUAUCAGCUUGCAAAAUCGUUUUAUGAAAGUUUGAAUUUUAGUAUGAUUUUGCACGAAAAUCGAAGUUUUUUCUGAUAUCACAUCAAAUUUUGGUUUUUUUUUAAAAUCCGGAUUUUUUAGGGAAUUCUCACUUCUUAAAUGUAGUGAACGAGGGUGUAUACUUCAUUGUUUUCCAUACGGGAAAGCAGCUAAUAUUUUUUUUAAUCGUCAAAAUUCGUCCUUGAAUAUCGCAUUUUCGGCGACAUUUUGACUCAAAAACGCAUGUGACUCGCGAUGAGCAUCAGGAAAUGUACACUGGGAAGUGGCUGAAUGAGUACGAAAUGCUGAAUCUUUCAGGAAAUAGAGGAUUUUGUGCCUCUAUUAUGUCUUGUGGAAGUCAAGAAACCUCGUAUCUGCCAUUCUAAACCACGUACAACGACAUGUCAUGACUUGCAUGCAAACCGAUACUCGUGGGAAGAAAUUUGACACCGCACGGACCACGCGGUGAAGUCGCCAGGCAUCACGGGCACCGUGCAGUCUGCAACAGCGUGCCGGGAGUUGGAGCUCGCGCCCCCACAACACACAUCGCUUUUGACUGGUGGUUAUACCGUCACCUUGGAGUCGAGUUUUGAGAAUGAGAGCUAUACGGCUGUAUGGAGAUGCUUUGAGUGUCAUCCGGGGACUGUCGUUCCUUCUGAUGAUGAUGAUGCAGACUUCUACAAGGAAUCUACAAUGCCUGAAUCUACAAGAUGACAUGAUGAAGGACACUAUGAAGAAAAGAACUAUGACCAGCCUUUAAAAAAUUAAUUCAAAAAUAACCCUUUUAUAUAAUUGAAAUAUAUUUUUAACUUGUUCCUAUUGUAAUCAUAAUAAAGACCUUUAUAAAUUAAAAUAAAAUGUAAAUUUUAACAAACAUCUUGGGUCUAGCCUCUUCAAACGCUGGCAUUGGAGUUAAUUUAAAGAUUGUAGUAAGAGUCUAAUAUUAAAUUCCAGUGAUUUACUAAUAAACAAUUGAUCUGUUAAUUAUUUGCGAAUUCUGAGGGUAGGAGAUUCAUGAACUAUGCCCAAAAAGGCAAAAUACUCAAACAGGAGAGAGUUUGAAACUGAAAAUUGCAAUGAUGGACAAGGUUUGGCUUAAUGUAAAGAAGGGGAAAAUGGCAAAUUUUACUUUAAAAAUGGUAGCAAAUAAAAUAAAAAGCUUAUAAUCUAAUAAUUACUAUUUGUACUUCUCAAUUGGAAUGGAUUAUCUUGUGAUUUAAAAGACCCCAGCUGCAAUAAACAAGAUUCUCACGGAACUGGUUAA